UACGGAGGGUGCAAGCGUUAUCCGGAUUCACUGGGUUUAAAGGGUGCGUAGGUGGGCAGGUAAGUCAGUGGUGAAAUCUCCGGGCUUAACCCGGAAACUGCCAUUGAUACUAUCAGUCUUGAAUACCGUGGAGGUAAGCGGAAUAUGUCAUGUAGCGGUGAAAUGCUGAGAUAUGACAUAGAACACCAAUUGCGAAGGCAGCUUACUACACAAUGAUUGACGCUGAGGCACGAAAGCGUGGGGAUCAAACAGG
rnacentral:rRNA from 1 species